UUCCCCCUCAGACAUUUAAGCAGCUGAGGGGGAAAAGGAAGGGGGCUGAGGCUGUUAGGAAUGGUGGGGGUUGAAGUCCAAAACACCUCUAGGGCUUAAGCUUGCCCUUGCCUGGUCUACACCGUCAUAUAAUCCAGUUUGGUGCAGUUAAAUUGUGUUUUAUGAGUCUACACAUACUACAUUAAGCAGUUUCAAAUUGCAUUAUAUUGCAGGGUAGGGUGGGGCCUGAACAAUAUCACAGGGUUGUUGUGAGAGUAAAGGAAGACAAGCAUGUCUGUCGGUGUAAACUGAGAGAGGGAACACAGGAUAUAAAUGUAAUAAAUAAAUAAAUAGUUAAUGUCUUUGUCUCUUACAGCAUAUCUCGGUUUGAUACAAUGACUGACUCUGCUUUUUGUCUGGAUAAUUUGUUUUUUGAAGGACCAAGCGGAAAGCAAAUAUCUCUAGAAAAUGAAGAGCCAACCAACUGGUAUCUUGCACCUGUUCCAUCUGCUUUUGAAAUCCCACCCACCCAAGAGCUACAAAUGGAACUGGAAAAAAAUAACCAAAAAGGUAACAUAUUUUGAAGAUAUUUGUAAUAUAGAAAACCAUAUAAGAGCAAAAUUAACAUUUAUUUGAAAUAAGGUAGCCUGCUUCCCCCAAUGUACAGAGUGAGCUGAAUCUGAACCAAACUAAAUGACAUACCAGUAAUUUCAUAUCUCCUCCCUAUGAGCAAUCACCAUGGAAGUAGAGUUAUGAUAAUUGCCAAUUCCAAGUUGUUGUUGUUGUUGUUGUUGUUGUUGUUGUUGUUGUUGUUGCUGCUGCUGCUGCUGCUGCUGCUGUUGUUUGCCUUAUGCUGAUACAUGAUGGUCCUAAGGCAAAUCUAUUGUAGGAUUUCCUUGGCAAGAUUAAUUCAGAAGGGGUUUGUCAAUGCCUCCAUCUGAGGGUGAGAGAAUAUGAGUUGUCCAAGGUCACCCAGUGGUUUCCAUGGCUCCGUGGGGAUUUGUGGGCCCUUCCACACAUGAGUAAAAUCCGUGCCAAAACAGGUUAAAAUAACCUGCUUCGGUGCGGGUUCUAGUCUCCACCCAAACCCUGGGCUUUCCAGGCGGUGCGGUGGCUACAUGCCAUCUGGAUUUAAAUCAGGAUGGCAUGAAGCCACCCUCAAGCCCCCCAUUUCCCCUUAAAACUUAUGAAAAAUAGUUCCUGGCCACCAUAAAUUCUCUCCUCCAAUCCUCCUGGCAUGAGAAAAUGAUACCUGAGGAGAUAGGAGGGGUGAAGAGGGAAAUCCCUCCUUUCUCGCAGCCCCCUUGUGUGUCAUUUUAUAGUAUUAGGAGGACUCACACCUUUGGGCUCUCACACCUUUGGGCUCCAGGAGCCCAGAAGAUGCGGGAUCGCUAUGGGGACUGAUCCCUGGUAUUGUGGAAAGCGGCCCCAAAAGUCAGUCUCCAAAGGCCCAAUACCCCAUUAGACCUGGGCCUUUCACUGCUUGGACUGGGCCUGCCAUGCACCAUCACAUAAUGCAUGGCAGGCCCCAUCCACUUUCCUCCCAAAGUGGAGGCAAAGCACCAAAAGGGAGUUAAGUGUUGUUUGGGUAGCUUGGAUAGCUACCCGCACUUU
rnacentral:lncRNA from 1 species